AAUCCUGGCGAGGCGAAGGGUACUGGCAAGGAGUUUGGUUCAAUGAUUUGUGGGUUAAGGGAAAGAGGCUGGGCAUCUUGGGCACAUUAGUUAACCUGUCUGUGCUUCACUUUCCUCAGCAGCGAAAUGAAGAUGAUACUAGAGCAGCUAACUCACGGGAUAUUUUUUAGGGUUAAAUGAGUUAAUGGGCGCCAAGAGUUUAGAACAUAGCACACAAACGAGUUGUUUCUGAUACUCACCAGGACAAUAUGUCUCUUGGGGAUUGGACUUUGUUCUGGCUUAAAUCGAAGGCCUGCCAUCCCAAACCUCUGAACCUCAGAGGUCCUCCUGCUAUAAAGUAGGAAUAAUCAUAUUCAUGUAAAGCUCCUACAGCACUUGGCUUUGCCCUGAUUAUUUCUCUUGAGAAAGCACUUUUAUCUGAGGAAUGUGAGUCCCUUUAAAUUACUAGGUCUGGAGAGGCAUUAAAAUGAGACCCCAUCAUGUUCUACCACCCCCUUGAGCUAUGUAUUCAUCUACUGAAACUACCUGCUUCUGCCACAAGUAGCUACCUACUAACCUAACACUGCCACACAAGACACUAUGACCCACACCCUAUAGUUUAACAAUGUCUAGCCAAUCACUGAUGCUUGUAGUUUCUAUACAUCAAUGAGAAUGCUUGACAGUUGUGUAUCAGCCCACUUCCUGCCCCCCUUCUUCGUCUUUAAAAACCUGCUUGUAGCAAAGGCCAGACAGAGCUCAUAUCCAAGCCUGCUGGUGGAGGGCGGUGGGGGGAGGGGGGUUGGAAUCUUCUGGGCAGCUGUCCCCGCUUUAACUCAAGCAAACUCUACCUUUUUUUUGCCUCAGUGACAUUUUUUUUGCCUCAGCCUUUUCCUUUUAAACUGACACCCUUACAUCACUGUCACUGACUUCAUUCUAUGAAAUUGAGGGCGUCACUUAACGAAAUUUAUUUACGUGCUUGCUUUGACAGCAUGUAUACUAAAAUUGGAAUGAUACAGAGAACUUUAACAUGGCCCCUGCUCAAGGAUGACAUACAAAUUUGUGAAAAUUAAAUUUGAAAAAAUAAACAUAAAACUCUAAACUUAUUUGAAACUAAAAAUGUGCCAGAAACACUGUACCAGGAGCUGGUGACACAAAGAUAGCAACAAUAGCUAACAAUAACCGUUUUAGGAACUUUCUGGUUUUCCAAAGUAAGAAUUUAGCUCUGUUCUGUAAAUAGCAAUUGUUUUGGGUUCUCCGUUGUAUUAUUUGUAAAAUGGGAAUGGCAAUAGAUAUUAAUACCUUACAGAUUGUGGUGAGAAGUAAAUGAAACAAAACAUGUAAAGCAUCUAAGAAUGCCUGGCACAUAGCAGGUGUUAAGUUUUAUAUUUUAAUUUGAAAAAUAAAAUAAAUAGAAACCUAAAGUUACUAAUAAAAAAAGUGAAACUAACAAUGAAGCUUCAAAUGUGAAAAAUAAGUGCAUCGAGAAUCUUGGAGAGGCCUUUAUUUAUUUAUGUAUGUAUUUUUGAGACGGAGUCUUGCUCUGUCGCCAGGCUGGAGAGGCCAUUUUACAAAAAUUUCUUACCCCGUGACCCCAGAAUGUAUCUCAACUUCAACUAGACCGAGAACUACAAUUCCCAGAAUGCACCUAAACAAGGCCCCGGGAACGGAGUCUGGCGGUGCUGCAGGGGAUUGUGGGUGCGUGGUUUCCCUCAGAGAUUUUUCACCUCACCAGGGCGCGAGAAUCUUGGAAACAGCCACCAGGGUGGGCGGGGCAAGGGCUGGUGUUCCACCAAUCACCGAGCCAGCCCCUGGAAGCGCUGAGCCGUGGCCAAUCGGAACGCAGCGGCUUCCUCCUAGCCUGGCGCGCGAUUAUUUGAAGACGCUCACGGAGCGGCUGGCUAGGCUGAGGGGAGCUCGCCCGGCUCUGAGGCGCAGGAAUUCAAUAAAGAAAAUGGCAGCUCUUACUCCAAGGAAGAGGAAGCAGGAUUCUUUGAAGUGUGACAGCCUUUUACACUUCACUGAAAAUCUGUUUCCAUCACCUAAUAAAAAGCACUGUUUUUAUCAAAACAGUGAUAAAAAUGAAGAAAACCUGCAUUGCUCUCAACAAGAGCAUUUUGUUUUAAGUGCGCUCAAAACAACUGAAAUAAAUAGACUGCCAUCAGCAAAUCAAGGCUCGCCAUUUAAAUCUGCGCUGUCCACUGUAUCUUUUUACAACCAAAAUAAGUGGUACCUCAAUCCACUGGAGAGAAAGCUGAUAAAAGAGAGUAGAUCUACUUGUCUAAAAACUAAUGAUGAAGAUAAAUCUUUUCCCAUUGUGACAGAAAAAAUGCAAGGAAAACCAGUCUGCUCCAAGAAGAACAACAAAAAACCACAGAAGAGUUUAACUGCUAAGUAUCAACCAAAGUAUAGACACAUCAAGCCUGUGUCAAGGAAUUCUAGAAAUUCCAAGCAAAAUCGAGUGAUCUAUAAGCCAAUUGUGGAGAAAGAAAAUAAUUGUCAUUCAGCUGAAAAUAAUCCCAAUGCUCCUCGGGUUCUGAGCCAAAAAAUAAAACCACAAGUUACACUCCAGGGUGGAGCAGCAUUUUUUGUUAGAAAAAAAUCUUCUCUUAGAAAAUGGUCCCUGGAAAAUGAGCCAUCACUGGGACGCACCCAAAAGAGUAAAUCAGAAGUCAUUGAAGAUUCUGAUGUAGAGACUGUCAGUGAAAAAAAAACUUUUGCGACAAGGCAAGUGCCAAAGUGCUUGGUCCUAGAAGAGAAAUUGAAAAUUGGACUACUGCGUGCAAGCAGUAAAAAUAAAGAGAAAUUAAUAAAGGAUUCAUCAGAUAACAGAGUUUCUUCAAAGGAACAUAAAGUUGAUAAAAAUGAGGCUUUUUCUUCAGAGGAUUCUCUUGGUGAGAAUAAGACAAUUUCUCCUAAGUCCACUGUCUAUCCAAUCUUCAGUGCAUCUUCAGUCAAUUCAAAAAGAUCUUUAGGUGAAGAACAGUUUUCUGUGGGAUCUGUCAACUUCAUGAAACAGACCAACAUCCAGAAAAAUACUAAUACCAGAGAUACAAGCAAAAAAACAAAAGACCAGCUCAUCAUCGACGCUGGUCAGAAACAUUUUGGGGCUACUGUGUGCAAGUCUUGUGGUAUGAUAUAUACUGCUUCCAACCCUGAAGAUGAAAUGCAGCAUGUACAGCAUCACCACAGGUUUCUGGAAGGAAUCAAAUAUGUGGGUUGGAAGAAAGAACGUGUAGUAGCAGAGUUUUGGGAUGGGAAAAUCGUGUUGGUUCUGCCACAUGAUCCAAGCUUUGCUAUCAAAAAGGUAGAAGAUGUCCAAGAACUUGUUGAUAAUGAAUUGGGCUUCCAGCAAGUUGUUCCUAAAUGUCCAAACAAAAUAAAAACUUUUCUUUUUAUAUCUGAUGAAAAGAGAGUAGUUGGGUGUUUAAUUGCAGAACCCAUCAAACAGGCAUUUCGUGUCCUGUCUGAACCAAUUGGUCCGGAAUCCCCAAGCUCUACGGAAUGUCCUAGGGCUUGGCAAUGUUCAGAUGUACCAGAACCUGCAGUCUGUGGGAUAAGUAGAAUCUGGGUUUUCAGACUGAAGAGAAGAAAGCGCAUUGCAAGACGACUAGUUGAUACCCUCAGGAAUUGCUUCAUGUUUGGCUGUUUUCUCAGCACUGAUGAAAUAGCAUUUUCUGACCCAACACCAGAUGAUGAGUUUUGCCUAGGGGUUUAUCAAUUUUGUUAGUAUUUUUGAAGAUUGGCAUUGUUAAUCCUAUCAUAGAUUGUAGAAGAUUAAAUAGGUACCAGGAGACAUGAAAGAAUCAUCUUCAACAUUUCUCAAGCAGCUGCUGAUUAUCUCCUUUUAUGGAGGCAUAACAAGCUCCUGGAGGCUUCUACAGAUUCUAAAGGGAAAGAUUUUCUGGGAGGUUGGUAAAUAUUCAAGAAGCUGGUCAGUUGGCAGGUAUGUAGAGAAACAGCAAUUCUCUUACAAAUUAGUAGGAAUAUAGAAUGUGGAUGUUGAGAUUACAGACUCUGGAGCCAGACUGCCUUCCUUGGGUUGGUUCAAAGACAUAUGCAAGCUGUGUGACCUUGAGCAGAUCACUUCUAGACCUGAAUUUCUUCAUUUUGUGAAUAAUAUUAGGCUGAGAGAAGUACCAUUUCUAUGCUUCCAUGAUUGCUAUGUCCAGGAAAAGGGAAAGGGACCAAUCACACAUAGGCUCUUUUUUAAAGCUCAAGAAAGAAAUAGGUCCACUCACAUUUCCAUUUAAACUUGAGUCAACUUGUCAAUUUCAAUGAAAAAGCCAGCUAAAAUUCUCAUUAGGAUUGGACUAAAUCUCUGGAUCAAUUUGGUAAGCAUUAACAUCUUAAUAGUAUUGAGUCUUCCAAACCACAGUCAUAUAUUUCUCCACUUAGUUAUAUCUUACUGAAUUUUCUCAGUGAUGAUUUAUAGUAUUCAUUACAGAGGAUUUAGACUUUUUUGGUUAGAUUUAUUCCGAAAUAUUUUGGGUUUUGGUACUUGUAAAUAGAUUUUAAACAAUUCCAUUUUCAAUUAUAUACUGCUAAUACACAGAAAUGUAAUCACUAACUUCACUAUAGCUGUUUUAUAGAUUCCUUGGGAUUUUCUACCUAAACAACAUAUCAACUGCAAAUGGGGACAGUUUCGUCUCCUUUCCAAUUUUGCCUUCUCCAUUUUCUUGCCUUAUUUUAGUGGCUAGGGCUAUAGGACUGCUAAAUAAAACUGGCAAGAGCAGGCAUCCUGGCCUUGUUCCCUACUUCAGUAUGAUACCUGCAGGUUUUUCUUGUAGACAGCCUUUCUCAAGCUAAGAUCCCUUCUAUUUCUAGUUAGCUGAGAGGUUAACUAGAUUUUAAACUAACUUUUAAAUCAAGAAUGGAUGUUGGAUUUUGUCAAACACUUUUUCUGUAUUUAUUGAGAUAUGUAGUUUUCAAAUUUGAUUAAAGACUUAAAUGUUGGACCUAAAACCACAAAAACCCUAAAAGAAAACCUAGGCAAUACCAUUCAGGACAUAGGCAUGGGCAAGGACUUCAUGAUUAAAACACCAAAAGCAAUGGCAGCAAAAGCCAAAACAGACAAAUGGGAUCAAUUAAAGAGCCUCUGCACAGCAAAAGAAAGUACCAUCAAAGUGAACAGGCAACCUACAGAAUGGGAGAACAUUUUUGCAAUCGACCUAUCUGACAAAGGGCUAAUAUCCAGAAUCUACAAAGAACUCAAACAAAUUUACAAGAAAAAAAAACCCAUCAAAAAGCAGGCAAAGGAUAUGAACACACAACUUCUCAAAAGAAGACAUUUAUGCAGCCAACAGACAUGAAAAAUUGCUCAUCAUCACUGGUCAUCAAAGAAAUGCAAAUCAAAACCACAAUGAGAUACCAUCUCAUGCCAGUUAGAAUGGCAAUCAUUAAAAAGUCAGGAAACAACAGAUGCUGGAGAGGAUGUGGAGAAAUAGGAAUGCUUUUACAUUGUUGGUGGGACUGUAAACUAGUUCAACCAUUGUGGAAGACAGUGUGGCAAUCCCUCAAGGAUCUAGAACUAGAAAUACCAUUUGACCCAGCAAUCCCAUUACUGGGUAUACACCCAAAGGAUUAGAAAUCAUGCUACUAUAAAGACACAUGUACACGUUUAUGUUUAUUGUGGCACUAUUCACAAUAGCAAAGACUUGGAACCAACCCAAAUGUCCAUCAAUGACUGGAUUAAGAAAAUGUGGCACAUAUACACCAUGGAAUACUAUGCAGCCAUAAAAAAGGAUGAGUUCAUAUCCUUUGCAGGGACAUGGAUGCAGCUGGAAACCAUCAUUCUCAGCAAACUAUCACAAGGACAGAAAACCAAACACCACAUGUCCUGACUCAUAGGUGGGAACUGAACAAUGAGAACACUUGGACACAGGGUGGGGAACAUCACACCCUGGGGCCUGUCAUGGGGUAGGGAGGAGGGAUAGCAUUAGGAGAAAUACCUAAUGUAAAUGACUAGUUAAUGGGUGCAGCAAACCAACAUGGCACAUGUAUACCUAUGUAACAAACCUGCACAUUGUGCACAUGUAUCCUAGAACUUAAACAAUUUCGUUAAUAUGGUGAAUUUUAUUGACUCCUCCCCCCAGCUCUGAGGUAUAAUUAACAAAAAUUAUAUAUGUUUAAGGUAUACAACUUGAUGUCUGAUAUACGUAAACACUGUGACCUCAUAGCCACAGUCAAGCUAAUUAACAUAUCUAUCACCUCAUAUAGUUACCAUUUUUUUGUGUGAGAAUACUCAAGAUCUACUCUCAGCAAAUCUCAAGUGUACAGUAUUGUUAACAAAGGGCACGAAGCUUCCAUUAUGCAGGAUGAGUAAGUUCUGGUGACCUAACGUACAGCAUAGUGAGGACAUUGAUUCUUGAAUGUUACAACUUUUCCUUCCUGGAAUAAGUCCUAGUUGGUCAAGAUGUAGUGUUCUCAUGUAGUAUUAGACUGAAUUGGCUAAUAUUUUGUUAAGGAUUUUGAUAUCUGUGUUUGUGAAGGAUAUUGGACUAUGAUUUUUUUUUCUUAAUAUCAGUUUAUUUUUCUGGGUACAUAGCAGGUGUACAUGUUUAUGUGUUAAUGUGAUAUUUUGAUGCAGGCAUGCAGUAUAUAAUAAUCACAUCAGGACCGAUAGGAUGUCCUACAAUCUGUCAGGUUUUCAUAUUAGAGUUAUGCUGACCGCAAAAACAGACUGGGCAGAGGUCCUUAUUCCUCUAUUUUCUGAAAAAGUUUGUGUAAAAUCCGUAUCAUUUCUUCCUUGGAUAUUUGGUAGAAAUCAACAGUAAAACAUCUGGGUCUUGA